GGGAUUGCCCCAGUAGCGGCGAGUGAAGCGGCAAGAGCUCAGAUUUGAAAUCGUGUUUCGGCACGAGUUGUAGAGUGUAGGCGGGAGUCUCUGUGGAGCGCGGUGUCCAAGUCCCUUGGAACAGGGUGCCUGAGAGGGUGAGAGCCCCGUAGGGUGCUGCGCGAAGCUUUUGAGGCCCUGCUGACGAGUCGAGUUGUUUGGGAAUGCAGCUCCAAGCGGGUGGUAAAUUCCAUCUAAGGCUAAAUAUUGGCGAGAGACCGAUAGCGAACAAGUACUGUGAAGGAAAGAUGAAAAGCACUUUGAAAAGAGAGUGAAACAGCACGUGAAAUUGUUGAAAGGGAAGGGUAUUGGGCUCGACAUGGGGGGUGCGCACCGCUGUCUCUUGUAGGCGGCGCUCUGGGCGCCCUCUGGGCCAGCAUCGGUUCCUGCUGCGGGAGAAGGGGCUCCGGAAAGUGGCUCUU
rnacentral:rRNA from 1 species